CGCCAGAACUUGGCCCAACCCCGUGACCUCAUUGGCCACGCCCCUUCAGGUCUAGUGGGCACCAGCCGACCCUCUCCACCAGCCAUUUCUAUAGGGCUAUAUCUUCUGAACUCUCCAGAGCUUUCUCAUUUUGCCAGAGAAGCGUUCCUAUGUAUAUGUAUAUCUGUAUGUAUGCUUAUAUGUCCCCACAACCAGCCUAAGGCAACACUCUUAUUCUACUCUGUCCAGCCCGCAGACAACGAAUCCUGUUCCUAGCAUGGAGGCGGCGCAACAAAGGAACAGGCAACUGGACUUGGAGGGUCUGCAGUAGCAGGUCAUGGUUCAGACCAGAUAGAGACAAUGGAACCUAUAAAAGACCGCAUUAUUAAGGUUACCUUCAAUGCAGAUGUACAUGCAAGCCUCCAGUGGAAUUUCAGACCUCAGCAGACUGAAGUAUAUAUAGCUUCUUAAUUUAGAACUACUUUAGAAUGGAACACUGAACAUUCUGCCACAGAAAUCCACAGGUGUAGUCCACUUCAGGUGGUUCCGGGAGAGACUGCACUGGCAUUUUAUAAAGCAAAGAAUCCCACUGAUAAACCAAUAAUUGGAAUCUCUACCUAUAACGUGGU